AUUUUUUUAAAAAGUCUAGUAAAAAGUUCUGGGUGUUGACUAUGACUAGAGUGUUUCGUUCCAAUUCCUUGACAAAAAAAGAGAGAAACCCAAAUCAGUGAAACUUGGCAACAAGUAAAAAAAAAAAAAAACCUAGUAGCAAGAAGAAUAAAAAGAAAGGAAGAGCAAAUAGAAGCAAACCUGAAUGAAGAUCAAAGAAGAGUAGCUAGCCAACAACGAAGAAUGCUAUAAAAAUAGAAUCAAGACGGAGACUAGAGAGAAGCAAGGUGAAGGAGCCGGAAUUAAUUUGCAUCGAGGGCCUUCUUUUAUUUGAGGGCCUUAAGUCAUUGCAUCAAUUGCUUCUAUGGUUGAGCCGGCACUGUACGAGCUUCAAAAAAACUUUGAUCUGGGUCUUCGUAUUCAACUCUAGUUACUAUCAAUUCACUUUGCACUCUGAAAUUAGGGGAGUAAAGAGAGAACUAGGCAUGACUGGAUGGGCUGGUGAAGCAAUUAACUCAAGUGUGAAAGUCAAGCUCUAAAGCGAGAUCGGUGUGGUACGACGGUCAUAUAGAUAAUAUUCCUGUACUUCCAUAAUUCACUGUUCGUUCUUCGUGGUCAUUUUGCCAUUUAUACCAUACCGUACUCCAAUCUCUGUAUCUUGCUUCUCAUAUUCAUUUUUAUAGAAAGAGAGAUAUGUGCUUCUAGUCUCCUUUUCCAACUUCCUUCAUUUGACCGCCUUACUUCGGUCUUUCAAUAUCCUAAGGGCAAGGAGAGUAGUGUAUUUCCUUGUUUCCCUUUACGAUUUAUUCUCAUUGUAGGGUCUAAUUGUCUUUUUCUUGGUUUUGAGUUUUUGUUUGUGUCUACUUCCACAAACA